rnacentral:rRNA from 1 species
AACGAACGCUGGCGGCAGGCCUAACACAUGCAAGUCGAGCGAAUCCUUCGGGGUUAGCGGCGGACGGGUUAGUAACGCGUGGGAACGUGCCCAAAGGUACGGAAUAGCCCCGGGAAACUGGGAGUAAUACCGUAUGUGCUCUACGGAGGAAAGAUUUAUCGCCUUUGGAUCGGCCCGCGUUGGAUUAGGUAGUUGGUGGGGUAAUGGCCCACCAAGCCGACGAUCCAUAGCUGGUUUGAGAGGAUGAUCAGCAACACUGGGACUGAGACACGGCCCAGACUCCUACGGGAGGCAGCAGUGGGGAAUCUUAGACAAUGGGGGAAACCCUGAUCUAGCCAUGCCGCGUGAGCGAUGAAGGCCUUAGGGUUGUAAAGCUCUUUCAGCUGGGAAGAUAAUGACGGUACCAGCAGAAGAAGCCCCGGCUAACUCCGUG